rnacentral:rRNA from 1 species
AUUGAACGCUGGCGGAAUGCUUUACACAUGCAAGUCGAACGGUAACGCGGAGAGAAGCUUGCUUCUCUCCGGCGACGAGUGGCGAACGGGUGAGUAAUACAUCGGAACGUGUCCGCUCGUGGGGGACAACCAGCCGAAAGGUUGGCUAAUACCGCAUGAGUUCUACGGAAGAAAGAGGGGGACCCGCAAGGGCCUCUCGCGAGCGGAGCGGCCGAUGACUGAUUAGCCGGUUGGUGAGGUAACGGCUCACCAAAGCAACGAUCAGUAGCUGGUCUGAGAGGACGACCAGCCACACUGGGACUGAGACACGGCCCAGACUCCUACGGGAGGCAGCAGUGGGGAAUUUUGGACAAUGGGCGCAAGCCUGAUCCAGCUAUUCCGCGUGUGGGAUGAGGGCCCUCGGGUUGUAAACCACUUUUGUAGAGAACGAAAAGACACCUUCGAAUAAAGGGUGUUGCUGACGGUACUCUAAGAAUAAGCACCGGCUAACUACGUGCCAGCCGCCGCCGUAA